UGGGGAAUAUUGCACAAUGGGCGCAAGCCUGAUGCAGCCAUGCCGCGCGUAUGAAGAAGGCCUUCGGGUUGUAAAGUACUUUCAGCGGGGAGGAAGGGAGUAAAGUUAAUACCUUUGCCCAUUGACGUUACCCGCAGAAGAAGCACCGGCUAACUCCGUGCCAGCAGCCGCGGUAAUACGGAGGGUGCAAGCGUUAAUCGGAAUUACUGGGCGUAAAGCGCACGCAGGCGGUUUGUUAAGUCAGAUGUGAAAUCCCCGGGCUCAACCUGGGAACUACAUCUGAUACUGGCAAGCUUGAGUCUCGUAGAGGGGGGUAGAAUUCCAGGUGUAGCGGUGAAAUGCGUAGAGAUCUGGAGGAAUACCGGUGGCGAAGGCGGCCCCCUGGACGAAAAAUGACGCUCAAGUGCGAAAGCGUGGGGAGCAAACAGG
rnacentral:rRNA from 1 species